rnacentral:misc_RNA from 1 species
CCCUGCAGCAGAUCCGAGUGUCCCUAACAAAUUAGUGAGCCCCAACCCAGCACCCUGUCCCGCCAGCAAAGCAGUCAGAGCCUGACCAAGAGCUGGGUUCAAUGCUUGAGGAGGUCCUUGGUUAUAACCAACACCAGGCCCAGCAGGGGCCAUCAAGUGCCCCGAUCCAGAGGCCCCCCCACCUGCAUAAUUAGGAUUCUUAUUCCUCUGAAACGGUGCAUUUGGUGUAUGAUGCUGGUGCUGAGCCUUCCCUGGCUUGGGACCGUCGAUGGCCUUUUGACAAUGCAAGACAUGACCCUCAAAAUUCU